UCGGGAAUUUUGGGCAAUGGGCGAAAGCCUGACCCAGCAACGCCGCGUGGAUGAUGAAGGCCUUAGGGUUGUAAAAUCCUUUCGUGGGGGACGAUAAUGACGGUACCCCAAGAAGAAGCUCCGGCUAACUUCGUGCCAGCAGCCGCGGUAAUACGAAGGGGGCUAGCGUUGUUCGGAUUUACUGGGCGUAAAGCGCGUGUAGGCGGGUCGUUAAGUUGGGGGUGAAAUCCCGAGGCUCAACCUCGGAACUGCCUUCAAAACUGGCGACCUGGACUCAAGCAGAGGCAAGUGGAAUUGCGAGUGUAGAGGUGAAAUUCGUAGAUAUUCGCAGGAACACCAGUGGCGAAGGCGACUUGCUGGGCUUGUAGUGACGCUGAGACGCGAAAGCGUGGGGAGCAAACAGGAUUAGAUACCCAAGUAGUCCCUGAGCGGGCUGGCAAGGCGCAU
rnacentral:rRNA from 1 species